AGAGUUUGAUCCUGGCUCAGCUUGAACGCUGGCGGCAUGGCUAAAACAUGCAAGUCGAACGAUACCCACGCCUUCGGGUGUGGUUAAAGUGGCGAACGGACGAGUAAUGCGUUUCUAAUGUGCCCUGGGAUCAGGGAUAGCUUCGGGAAACUGAAGGUAAUACCUGAUAAUCCCAUUUGGUUGUAAGGCCGAAUGGGCAAAGGUCCGCCGUCCUGGGAUCAGGAAACGUGGUAUCAGGUUGUUGGUGGGGUAAAAGCCUACCAAGCCUAAGACGCCUAGCGGGUGUGAGAGCAUAACCCGCCGUAUCGGAACUGAGACACUGUCCGGACUCCUACGGGAGGCUGCAGUAACGGAUAUUCCACAAUGCACGCAAGUGUGAUGGAGCAAUGCCGCGUGAAGGAUGAAGCAUUUCGAUGUGUAAACUUCUGUCAGGGUUUAGGAAUUUUGACCAGACCCAAAGGAAGGGCCGGCUAACUUCGUGCCAGCAGCCGCGGUAAUACGAAGGGCCCGAGCGUUAAGCGGAUUCACUGGGCUUAAAGGGUGCGUAGGCGGGAUCGUAAGUGUCUUGUGAAAUCCCGGGGCUCAACCCCGGAAGUGCUUGGCAAACUGCGAUUCUUGAGGCAAGUAGAGGCAAUCGGAACUGUAGGUGUAGCGGUGAAAUGCGUAGAUAUCUACAGGAACACCAAAGGUGAAGACAGGUUGCUGGGCUUGUUCUGACGCUCAUGCACGAAAGCGUGGGGAGCAAACAGGAUUAGAUACCCUGGUAGUCCACGCUGUAAACGAUGUGUACUAGGUUCGGGUGGCUCUGGCGUCUUCCGAACCGAAGCGAAAGUGUUAAGUACACCGCCUGGGGAGUACGGUCGCAAGGCUAAAACUCAAAGGAAUUGACGGGUGCUCACACAAGCGGUGGAGCAUGUGGCUUAAUUCGAAGCAACGCGAAGAACCUUAUCCAGGGUUUGACAUGUAUGGAUUAGCUGCCGGAAACGGUAGUGACGCGGCUUGCCGUGGAACAUACACAGGUGCUGCAUGGCUGUCGUCAGCUCGUGCUGUGAAGUGUUGGGUUAAGUCCCUCAACGAGCGAAACCCUUGCCACUAGUUGCCAGCGAGUAAUGUCGGGGACUCUAGUGGGACUGCCGGUGUUAAACCGGAGGAAGGUGGGGAUGACGUCAAGUCCUCAUGGCCUUUAUGCCCUGGGCUGCACACGUGCUACAAUGGCGUAUACAGAGCGAAGCAAGACCGUAAGGUGGAGCAAAUCGCAGAAAAUGCGCCCCAGUUCGGAUUGUGGUCUGCAACUCGACCACAUGAAGUUGGAAUCGCUAGUAAUCGCGUAUCAGCUACGACGCGGUGAAUACGUUCCUGAGCAUUGUACACACCGCCCGCCAAGUCAUGGAAGCCGGUAGUACCCGAAGUCGCACCGUUUCAGGUGUGCCGACGGUAAGAUUGGUGACUGGGACUAAGUCGUAACAAGGUA
rnacentral:rRNA from 1 species